AUUUUCCACCAGCGAAAUAUGAGGAAGCCAUCCUGGAUCCUGCAACACAGAGAGCAGCCAAUGAGGAGGAGGCGUGGUCGCCAUGGAGACGGAGAGAUAAAGAGGAGCAGCAGAGAUCAGCACUGAGAAGGAGAACGAACCUGCGGAGCGACAAACAUCAGGUUACCAUGACGACCACACAGAGAGGCAACCUGGAAACCUGACGGCACCUGACCCGGUUCUGCAGCAGGAAGCCAAUCUCUGCCUGUCCCAGAACAUAAAAUGAAUAAAAUAAAAACAGGUCUCUGGACAGGCUUUAGCUUCCAUUAGCUUCUUUGCCCUCCAAACAUUUAUUUGCUUCACAAGCAUGAUUGACUGCACUAAGACCCACCUCCUGGCUCUGAUUUGUUGUUUCUAGUUAGCGCUGGGAGAAGACAGAGAAGUUUAAUUUAUUCACAGAUUAUCUGUCACAUGUUAAACUGUUAUAAUGAGUGACUGAAAUAUUGAAGAAAACAAAAA